rnacentral:rRNA from 1 species
GACGAACGCUGGCGGCGUGCUUAACACAUGCAAGUCGAACGGAAAGGCCCUGCUUUUGUGGGGUGCUCGAGUGGCGAACGGGUGAGUAACACGUGAGUAACCUGCCCUUGACUUUGGGAUAACUUCAGGAAACUGGGGCUAAUACCGGAUAGGAGCUCCUGCUGCAUGGUGGGGGUUGGAAAGUUUCGGCGGUUGGGGAUGGACUCGCGGCUGAUCAGCUUGUUGGUGGGGUAGUGGCUUACCAAGGCUUUGACGGGUAGCCGGCCUGAGAGGGUGACCGGCCACAUUGGGACUGAGAUACGGCCCAGACUCCUACGGGAGGCAGCAGUGGGGAAUAUUGCACAAUGGGCGGAAGCCUGAUGCAGCAACGCCGCGUGCGGGAUGACGGCCUUCGGGUUGUAAACCGCUUUAGCCUGUGACGAAGCGUGAGUGACGGUAAUGGGUAAAGAAGCACCGGCUAACUACGUG